ensembl:lncRNA
ACAACUGUAAGUACAACGCUUGACAACUCUUAAGUGGCUGAAAGCCUAGCCUUUUCCCAGAAGCAAUACAGCCUCGCUGGUCAAUGUUCAACAGAUACUGCAUGUUGUGGGAUCCAGCUUACUGUUAAGAACUAUGUGCUGAGUUGUCAACGUUUGGACAGCACUGGGCUACACACAGAUUUUCAUGAAGGCUGACUCUCUCAGAAGUGUCCUUGGCUUCACCGUGGACAAGAUGCCCAUCAGGGGGCUUCUGACCUGAGCCUGGAGAAGCAGGAGGGAUCCUCUGUCUGGAGGAAGACAUUUAAAUUGCUCUGAGAAUCUAAUUCCUGGCUUUCAGCUACUGACUGCUGGAUAUUCACCGUGGUUUUCUAAAGCAGACUGCUGUUCCCCCAGGAAUGAAGCAGAGACUACUCAUUUAACACAGGACUUGAGAUUCAACUGAAAACCUGGAUCCCAGAGGAACAAAGCCAGCACUCUAUUCAACACGUCACUCAGCCUCUUCCCACAUGCUAUACUGUUACAACAUGAGGCUGUGGCUGGAGUCUUCAAUUUCAACAAAAAACAAGACCCAACCCUGCCAUGUGGUAGAGGAAUGUCAAUCUAUUUUGAUGUUAAGAACCAAAAUGUCGCGGAUGAAAGAGCAUGUCAAGAUUUACGGUCCUGUUUUUAAUUCAUCUGCAGGCACUGAUUACUAGCAGCACUAAAUCAAGCUCCAUUGCCUGUCUGGACAGGGAACACCUGGGGAAGGAAACCUUGAUCUGCACAGUGGCUGGGACAGGGAGGCCUCAGCUCACCUGCAGUAAGGCCUCAGCCCUGCAGAUGGCUGCACUAGAGCUGCUGGUGUGAGCAAAGGGGAGUUGGUGACCCAGUUAUCGGCAGACUCUGAUCCCACAAUGACACAGAUACAGUAAUGACCUGAUAGCAUGAUCACUGACCUUUGUUUUAAAAACACAAAUACUUUAUAAAUACAAAGCUGCAGACAGCCUGCAAAAGCUGUCUGCAACCCAGAACAAUGCUAUUGCACAAUAACAAUGCCAUUUUGUUUAAAGCAAACAAACAAAAAAGUCUAACCCAGUUACUCAACAGCUCAGAGGAGGGCCAAAUAGUAUUGAAAAAAGCCUUUUUUUUUUUUUUUGCCAGAGUGAAAGGGCCUACCUACAUAUUGCUUGUUUCUGUGGUCAUUCUGCAGGUCCAUUUCUAACAGCCUGUGCAUCUGUGCAUGAUGUGAUGACUGCUCUUUGGAGCCACAGCACUGAAGGAGCAGUCUGAGUAAGAGGAGGGUGAACCUCUGCUCGACAUCUGUGUUUCGCAGUACUAAACUGGGGCCUAUCCUGGUUCUUAAACUAGGAAUUGCUUUCAAACUCCUAGAUUGUUAGGUUGCAGUCAUCCUUGCUUUGGUACACUUCUCAGACAGAUACUUUUUCAGCCUUGGCCACCCCAGACUGCUCCCCUGAGAUACUGUAGAACCAUGUUCUUUAAAUGAGCAACACAAGGGAACUGAAAGAAAAUCAAAGACAGUGGUAGUGCUAAGAUGAGUUAUUAAAGUGUUGGAUGCAAAAUGGAAAUGUGUUUAAUAAACUCAAGUAUAAAAAUAUCUUCUUAAUCUAUAUGCAAAGACAGUUAUUACUUUUACUACUUAGAGGUAGCAGGAGUUAGAUUGAAAGGCAGCACGGGAAGAAUGGGGAGCCAGUUCAGCCUCGUGGUCCAGUUUGACCACUUGUGGCAAGCAGUGUGAGGUUGGUCAUUCCCCAUUUAACCCAAGUUUUCUCAGACUGGAAGAACAGAAUCUGGCACUCAGCUCCACAUUUGAUUUUCAUAAGAUGGAGGAAAUUUAUAUUCCAGAUUUUUUCAACACAUCUUAGGAGCAUCAGAGCAAACUCCUAACAAGAAAGUAGCUUGGCAUUACACACCAUCUGAUCCAUCCUUAUCAUAGAAUCAUGGAGUCAUAGAAUCUUAAGGUUGGAAAGGACCUAUAAGAACAUCUAGUCCAACCAUCCUCUCAUUCCCCUUGCUACCAAAAGCUACUAAACCAUAUCUUGUAGCUCCUCGUCCAGACACCUCUAGAACACUGCCAGGGACGGCAACUUCACCAGCUCCCUGGGCAGGCCAUUCUAGUGCCUGACCACCCUCUGAGAGAAAAAGUUUUUCCUUAUGUCUAAUCUAAAUCUCCUCUGGUAUAACUUGUGGCCUUUUCCUUGGGUCCUGUUUGUUGCCUGGGAGAAGAGGCCAAACCUCUCCUCAUCACAACGUCCCUUCAGGAAGCUGUAGAGUGCAAUGAAGUCUCCCCUGAGCCUCCUCUUCUCCAGACUGAACAAUCCCAGCUCCCUCAGCUGCUCCUCAUAAGACUUGUGCUCCAGACCCCUCACCAGUUUCGUUGCCCUUCUCUGGACACAUUCCAGGGCCUCAAUGUCUUUCUUGUAGUGAGGGGCCCAAAACUGAACACAGUACUCAGGAUGCAGCCUCACCAGUGCUGAGUACAGGGGGAUGAUUACCUCCCUGCUCCUGCUGGCCACACUAUUUCUAAUGCAGGCCAGGAUGCUGUUGGCCCUCUUGGCCACCUGGGCACACUGUCGGCUCAUGUUCAGCUGAGCAUCAACCAACACCCCCAGGUCCCUUUCCUCUUCACAGUCAUCUAGCCACUCAGCCCCAAGCCUGUAGUGCUGCAUGGGGUUAUUGUGGCCAAAGUGCAAGACCUGGCACUUGGCCUUGUUGAACCUCAUCCCAUUCACAUUGAUCCAGUGAUCCAUCUUAUCUAGAUCCCUCUGAAGGGCCUCCCUACCCUCAGGCAGAUUGACACCACCUCCCAACUUGGUGUCAUCCUUCUCUCCUCCGAUUUCACACACACCAGCCCACUUCUUUCAAAAUCAUUUAGCUUUCUUACAAGCCACCAUUACUGCUCCCCAAACCUACUUUUGGCCAUCUUCACCACCCAGUGAAUCUCUGAGACUGCACACUGGCAAUACUCGUAACAUGACACAACUGUGAUAUGCAUCUUGCCCAAAGAAACUGUCAUGGGCUUGAAUUCUCACAGAGUGACUCUCCAUAUAUUUGUCUGUAAGAUUUCUCACCUUAUCUAGAUUCCUUCUGAAUUUUGGAGUCACCACGGUAAUGCUUUGCAGACAGUCUUUGGAUCUCUCAAAGGAGUAAAAUGAAAAGGCUAACAAAGACAUGGAGGAAAUAUUUCUUCAUUCACAUAACCAAAUAUUUCUAAAUUAGAAGAUAUCCUACCAAAAGAUUUUCCUACCAGUUCCCAUCAUGGCAACAGAGUUUGCAGGAGUUAUAUAACUAUGAAUACAAAUAAAUGAACCAGGAAGAUAUCUAUUUAACUGUCUGUCAAGCUUAAAUGCAUUAGCUAAUCUCGCUCUCUAGGAAAGAUAGGAUUUUUAUUUUCUUUUUUUAGGCAAAUACUAUGUUUUAUACCUUUUUUUCAGUAAUUAUUUUUUCUUCACCCUCUUCUGGUGACAGUUUAUGCCCAGCAGGAGCUCUAACCUCAUGAUGUUUUCUCAAAAUGGAAAGGAAAGACAUACUACAAAUCUUUGGUAAUGUUUAAAAAAAUAAAAAUCCUUGGU